ensembl:lncRNA
UAGGACUAGAGGGAAGGGCUUCAAGCUGCGCCACGGAAGAUUCAGGCUGGACGUUAGGAAAUACUACUUCUCUGAAAGGGUGGUCAGGCACUGGAAUGGGCUGCCCAGAGAGGUGGUGGAGUCACCGAGCCUGGUGGUGUUCAAGGAGCGUUUGGAUGUUGUGUUGAGGGACAUGGUUUAGCGAGAACCAUUGGUGACGGGCGAAUGGUUGGACUGAAUGAUCCUGUGGGUCUUUUCCAACCUUAGCGAUUCUAUGAUUCUAUGAUAUCAGUAGGUUUCUGUCUUUGUCCUUCUGAGCUGCAGUAUGCCAUAAACCUCCUACAGGGUGACCUGGCUUGACAGUAGGUUCAUACUAUCCCCACAACCUCUGCUUUGCUGUAUGUUCUCCUCCAUUGUAUAUGAACACGUUAUUUGCCUCCCCUAUCAAGUCUGGGACACUACUGUGAUAGAUGCCAGCUUAUGUGGCCCAUGUCUUAGUUCUCAAGAUGGUCACCUUCACGCCAGCUGCAUUAAGUAUCAGACUUUCUUCUUCCUUUUUUUCUUGCUCCCUUCUUUAUUUUUUUUUCCUUUUUCCCUUGUAUUUUGGCAAAAGAACAGCAUCCCCUCAUAGCCCAGUAUCCCAAUAUUAGAUAAGAUGUGCUGAUACAUGAACCAAGGCUUCCCCUGACAGCUAGCUUCAUGCAUAUGUUGGUUUGUUUCUAAUCUUUUUCAUGCACAAAUACAAUUUUCUCCAGAAUUCCCCACUGUGCAAAGCUCUUCACCCAUCAGUCCCCCGACUCCACAGAAGUAUCAGGGCUGAUUUUGCUGCAGAUUUAACAAAUCUUCAUUGCAUCAUUCAAAGCACAAGCUUUGCUAAUUCAGUGAAGAAACAUUUAUGCGCUUUCCAAGGAGACAUGGCUCUCUAGUCUUUAUCUGUCUCCAGAGCUGUUUCUCAGAUCUUCCCUUCUCAUAGCAUUAGCAAAAUGGAGCAGGUUAACUUAAAUGAAUUUACUAACUUAAACCUACUGUAAAGGUUUAGAGGUUGAUACUAUACUGUAUUACAGUAUUGUUUCUUUUGAUUUUCUUUUUCCAUUGCUUCUUGUGCUGGGACAUAAUUGCACACUACUAUAGAUUGUCAUAGUUACUGUUGUAGCCACAGAAAUAUUCCUCACUAAUAUAUCUCUUCAGUGGGUGUUGCUGGAUGCCAACUAACUGUAAG